rnacentral:lncRNA from 9 species
AAGGUUUUUAUGAUUUCAUAGCUACAGCAUGCCAAGAUUCUACAGCCAAAUCUUGGCUUGACUUUACUGGAGUUUAAUCAUGGUGUGUUGGUGACACGUGUUGUUUUAUCUCUGAUUAAACAUAAGGGAUGGAAGGGACUACCAUGAGGCAAGGCUGGCUCUAUUUUUAUCCAGAAGUUUUUGGAUAAAAAGUCAGCAAUGUGCAGAAGACAGGUGGCAGCAAGGUGGAAGGCAAAAUUUUGUGUCAUAAGGAAGAGUCUAGGCUGGAAAAGUGGGGAGGCGACUGAAGAGGAAUGAAAAACACCACGAUUGGAGAGAGGACUGAAUAGUAGAGAAGGGUAAAGUGGGGGAAAUAAAUGCAACAUUUCUCCAGGGAUUUGUGGCUUAGAAUGAGAAAGAAAAAGAAGAAUCAAUUGGUUGUGCAAUGUUGCCAGAUCAUACCUCGAGGGUUUAUUUUGCAUUCCAGGAUCUUCGAGAAGGCAAAUAGUAAAAUGAAAAACACGUGCGGGAAAUUAGGAGCUCAGUUGCCUGGGCCGCUGGAGGGGAUGCUACUGAAGGGGAAAGGCCUUCCUAAUUUGAACAGAGAUGUACCUGUGUCACACCACCCUGUGUCCCCGAUUCAGCUCGUCUGAAUCUGUGGAGGACAAGCCUGAAGGCCAUGUCUUAUCUACUCUUUCCCAACUAGACUGGUCCAUUAUCACUGUGAAGUUUUUGAGAAGACAGAGCCAGUCUUACCUGCAGCUAAAUCUGCCUCUUAUUCAGCUAAUUUCUCUUGCAGGAAUGCUAAAGUUGACAAAGAAAAGCCAAGUCUCACCAAUAUUAUAACCCCCUCACCCC